CCAUGCCCCUCUCUAUUUAUAAAGUCAUGCCUUGCUAUAUCUGACUUGCCAAAUAAGCCUUUCAAGUUGUGGAGGGGAUUCUGGUGGCAUAGUGUGGGAACCAGGGAACAAUUUGGAGGGGUAAGGGAAAUUAGACAGGACACCACAAAUCACUGCAUGCUGAGUGCCCUCUGAAGACCAGAUCAAAUGGGCUGCCAGGCUUUUUCACCAUGAAAAAUUCCAGGAGGCAGGAGUGGAUGGCUUCAACCUGCUGGGCACAAGGUGGAGGAAGAGGAGCAGGGUGAAGGUUCAUCUGAGCCAAGCCCCUGCAGGUGUUCCAGGUGCCUGGAGGGAGGCUGGGGAGCUGCUGCAGCUCUGGAGUGGAGUGGAGCCUCAGUGGGGGUCCCUGCCUGCAUCUGCCCUGGCCCCUGCCACACACGGGAGCCCUUUCCAGGUCACUGCCCCGCAGCUGGCUGUGGCUGUGGGGUGCCUCGGUGCUGACAGGGCUGAGAUGUGCAGGACAGGAGGGACACAUCUCCAGAGCUGCAUCCUCCUCCCCAGCUGGCUGGAGCUGCAAUAAAGCGUGUUUCCAAAUGCUGACAA